AUUGAACGCUGGCGGCAGGCCUAACACAUGCAAGUCGAACGGUAGCACAGAGAGCUUGCUCUCGGGUGACGAGUGGCGGACGGGUGAGUAACGUCUGGGAAACUGCCCGAUGGAGGGGGAUAACUACUGGAAACGGUAGCUAAUACCGCAUAACGUCGCAAGACCAAAGUGGGGGACCUUCGGGCCUCACACCAUCGGAUGUGCCCAGAUGGGAUUAGCUAGUAGGUGGGGUAAUGGCUCACCUAGGCGACGAUCCCUAGCUGGUCUGAGAGGAGGACCAGCCACACUGGAACUGAGACACGGUCCAGACUCCUACGGGAGGCAGCAGUGGGGAAUAUUGCACAAUGGGCGCAAGCCUGAUGCAGCCAUGCCGCGUGUAUGAAGAGGGCCUUCGGGUUGUAAAGUACUUUCAGCGGGGAGGAAGGCGGUGGAGUUAAUAACUUCACCGAUUGACGUUACCCGCAGAAGAAGCACCGGCUAACUCCGUGCCAGCCGCCGCCGUAA
rnacentral:rRNA from 1 species